UCAAGAACUUUCCACAAUGGACGAAAGUCUGAUGGAGCGACGCCGCGUGAUUGAUGAAGCGAUUCGUCGUGUAAAGAUCUUUUAUGGGGGAAGAAGUUUAUUGACGGUACCCCAUGAAUAAGAGGCUCCUAACUCUGUGCCAGCAGGAGCGGUAAUACAGAGGCCUCGAGCGUUAUCCGGAAUUAUUGGGCGUAAAGGGUACGUAGGUGGUUAUAAUAGUCUUUCGUUAAAUCCUUGGGCCUAACCCAAG
rnacentral:rRNA from 1 species